GCUCCCGAAUCGUCAGCCCACAGGCGCGGCAAACUGCUCCCAUGGCUACGAGGCAGGAGUGACCUUCAAUCCAGCGUUUGUGUUUGGGAAACUUAUUUGGCUGAUUUGAUUGUUUCCUCGCAGCUGGUGUUCACGCGCUCAAGAGAUGGGUUCGUUAUCUUAUGUGCAUGUAUACUGCCCGGCUUUUCUAUGCGCAGGAAUGUAACCACUAAGAAGUGUUGUAAACAAAGCAAGGAGAGAAAUAAAAACCCCAGGAAAAGUUUUCCUGGGAGGCUUUUUGCAAGAGGCUUGUAAAGCUCUCUGGCUACCAACAAACCUGGCGUUCUGUUUCCUUUCCUGCGUCGUCACCACAGCUGGUGACCCCGACGUGAUGCCCCUCUACUCACCGGCUGGAUACGCCGAGCGCGCCCGCGGCUGUUUGCCGCCCCUUAUUCGUAGAAAAGUGCUACCCAAAGAUCCUAGCACCCCUGCCAUUUAUUAAAACCAGGAGACUGAGUCUAUGUAAAGUCCAUCAACGAAAGACUGCUUUGGCUCCAUGCUGGAAAGGCCCUUUCCAAGUCCUGUUAACCACCAACACCGCUGUGAAGUGCCAAGGACUGACUGCCUGGACCCAUGCUUUUCACUGCAAAAAGACCCCUCCACCUCGGGAGGACUCUUUGACUAAUGAUAAGCCUAUUUCUCCUUCUAGUCCUGCUGUGCCUUCUGGACAGCAGGAAAAAGGAAAAAAAAGACAAGGUGAAGUGCUAGUAACCUCUCCCUUGUCCACUGACAGACCUACUGUUGCUUUGAAUUUUUCUAGAAGAAGCAAAACCAUUACAGGGUGAUGUGCUAGUAACCUCUCCCCUGUAUGAUGCUAAACCACACUGUUUCAGGAAAAGAGAAGAAGGAACACUUGCUUCCUUGAAACCACAAAGUCCAGGAAUUCCUGACUACAAGAGACAUUAAGAACUGACCCUGGUGAAGAAACAAAAAAUUAUAACCUGGAAAAAAAGAAACUUGUGGGACCCAUGCUUGGGAACGUGGUAUUGAUUGGAUUUUGGGGUUUAUUCUACAGGCUGCGCCCUGUGUUUUGAAUAAGUCCUCCAGUAUGUAUUGCCUUCCCUAAUUGGAUUUUAAAUGAUAAGUACCAAAGGCACCUUGUUGCCAUUGCCCCUGCUAUCUUCUUUAUUACACUAUUACCCCUGUAACACAUUCAAAUACAGACAAUGACCCAGAAGUUGCUGACAGAGAUGGUAUUGAAUAUCACUGAGGCUGGGAAGGCAUUGCAGUGGGAUCUAGCAUGUUCAGGCUUGGCCCACUGCCCUUACAGACACAUCAGGAGUACCAUCUGAUCUGUGGCCAUAGAGACAUACUUAGAGACUUUCUAGGUAAAAGUGCAAACGUUCUUAAUGCUCCUUCCAAGCAUAUGGACCGGUAAAGAGGGUGUGGCCUUCCACAUACCAAAUCCUGCCGGGUCCAUGGGGAGGAUGCAUGUGGGAUUGAGUAAUUCACCAAGACAUCUGGGAAAUUAGACUACCUGGUAUGCCCAGUUAAUUUUAGUCAGUGCUCCUGGGAUUACACCUGACAGGACGCUUACUUUUUUCAAGUUAAUGACAGUUGUGUGUAUGUUAAUGACACCACAUUACAAGACAUUUGGGUCCACCUGGCACAAGUAUUAAAUCAAUCUGAUUUCUGCCUGGCCGUUGCCCCGGACAUGCAAGGUCUGUUAAGUACUUGCCUUGUUCCUGUCUGCAAACCACCCAGCAACAUCUGGGGUGUGAGACAGUGAAAGAAAUGUGUUGUUUUAAGCUUACUGAUAAUAGUUUUGCAUCCAAUAGCAGACUGAUAUGCUGAAAUGUUAUGUUUAAGUUAUCCGCUAGGACGUUUUUCCUCCUUGGUGGAAUUAUAUCUAGUCAUAGCCACCCUUAAAGUGGAUAAAGACCCUCUUAUAGUAUGGGCUCUUAGUUUUAGUUUUUGGUGUUUCAUUUUGCUGCUUUGUUUAGUGUAUACCCAAUCUAGUGGCAUUGUGCAUGCUACCCUGUGAGAGUGUUUUGUUUAAACACUGCAUCUAUAAAAUAAAACAGGGGGGGAUGUAGGGACGCAUAGCUCCCGAAUCAUCAGCCCACAGGCGCGGCAAACUGCUCCCAUGGCUACGAGGCAGGAGUGACCUUCAAUCCAGCGUUUGUGUUUGGGAAACUUAUUUGGCUGAUUUGAUUGUACCCUCGCAGCUGGUGUUCACGCGCUCAAGAGAUGGGUUCGUUAUCUUAUGUGCAUGUAUACUGCCCGGCUUUUCUAUGCGCAGGAAUGUAACCACUAAGAAGUGUUGUAAACAAAGCAAGGAGAGAAAUAAAAACCCCAGGAAAAGUUUUCCUGGGAGGCUUUUUGCAAGAGGCUUGUAAAGCUCUCUGGCUACCAACAAA